AGAAUGUGAUGCACUCAGGGCUGAAUUUGAUGAUUUAGUCAAGUAUGAUGGCGAUAAGAAAUUGAAAGAAGAAUAUGAUGCACUCAAGGCUAAAUAUGAUGAUUUAGUCAAGUGUGAUGGCAAUAAGAAAUGGAAAGAAGAAUAUGAUGCACUCAAGGCUAAAUAUGGUAAGAAUGUUAAUUUUAUGAUGCACAGU